GCUGGCAAGUGAAUACACGCGGUCAGGGAAAGCCAUCUACUUAUGUGGGUGUAUUUGACUUUGACUGCUGGUAUCAUGCUCAAAUGCCAGGCUCACUAAGGCCAGAAGAAUCCCUUCAGGACUGCCCCUAUUUUGCACUGUGGUCACUGGACACCGUCACAAGCAUGACUUCUCCCAACCACAUUUUGGAUAUUGUGGUGCAGGAGCGCAGCCUAAAUUGGACAGUUCCUCCUUCUUAUCCACUACCUGAGCAGUGUUUUCAUCCAAGCACCUAUAAAUUUGAUGGCACGUGCUUGCUGAGCUCUGGAGUUGUUCAUAUGACUUGCAGCGGGUUCCGGAAGGAGGUGAGCUUUUACUCUCUCUU